rnacentral:rRNA from 1 species
UACAGAGGUCCCAAGCGUUGUUCGGAUUCACUGGGCGUAAAGGGUGCGUAGGCGGUCGGGUAAGUCUGAUGUGAAAUCUCACAGCUUAACUGUGAAACUGCAUUGGAUACUAUCCGGCUAGAGGAAUGGAGGGGAGACUGGAAUACUUGGUGUAGCAGUGAAAUGCGUAGAUAUCAAGUGGAACACCAGUGGCGAAGGCGAGUCUCUGGACAUUUCCUGACGCUGAGACACGAAAGCCAGGGGAGCGAACGGG